rnacentral:rRNA from 1 species
GAUGAACGCUAGCGGCAGGCUUAAUACAUGCAAGUCGAGGGGCAGCGGGAGUAGCAAUACUUGCCGGCGACCGGCGCACGGGUGCGUAACACGUAUACAAUCUGCCUUUUACUGGGGAAUAGCUCGGAGAAAUCCGGAUUAAUACCCCAUAACAGCGGGGAUGGCAUCAUCCCUUCUUGAAAGCUCCGGCGGUAAAAGAUGAGUAUGCGGCUGAUUAGCUUGUUGGUGAGGUAACGGCUCACCAAGGCAACGAUCAGUAGGGGAUCUGAGAGGACUACCCCCCACACUGGUACUGAGACACGGACCAGACUCCUACGGGAGGCAGCAGUAAGGAAUAUUGGACAAUGCCCGCAAGGGUGAUCCAGCCAUGCCGCGUGCAGGAAGAAGGCCCUAUGGGUCGUAAACUGCUUUUGAACAAGAGAAAACCCCCUUACGUGUAAGGGGCUGAUAGUAUUGUUAGAAUAAGCAUCGGCUAACUUCGUGCCAGCAGCCGCGGUAAGACGAAGGAUGCAAGCGUUAUCCGGAUUCAUUGGGUUUAAAGGGAGCGUAGGCGGCUCGAUAAGUCAGUGGUGAAAUCUUCUCGCUUAACGAGAAAACUGCCAUUGAUACUGUCAAGCUUGAGUACAGUUGCCGUUGGCGGAAUAUGACAUGUAGUGGUGAAAUACAUAGAGAUGUCAUAGAACACCGAUUGCGAAGGCAGCUAACGAAGCUGUAACUGACGCUGAGGCUCGAAAGUGCGGGGAUCAAACAGGAUUAGAUACCCUGGUAGUCCGCACUGUAAACGAUGAUUACUCGCUGCUGGAGGGCAACUCUCAGUGGCUUAGCGAAAGCGAUAAGUAAUCCACGUGGGGAGUACGCCGGCAACGGUGAAACUCAAAGGAAUUGACGGGGGCCCGCACAAGCGGAGGAGCAUGUGGUUUAAUUCGAUGCUACACGAAGAACCUUACCCGGGUUUGACAUGCAAGUGGUAGUGAUCUGAAAGGUGAACGACCCGCAAGGGAGCUUGCACAGGUGUUGCAUGGCUGUCGUCAGCUCGUGUCGUGAGAUGUUCGGUUAAGUCCGCUAACGAGCGCAACCCUCGCUGUAUGUUACAUGUGUCAUACAGGACCGCCGGUAUCAAGCCGGAGGAAGGUGGGGAUGACGUCAAGUCCGCAUGGCCUUCAUGUCCGGGGCUACACACACGCUACAAUGGGCAGUACAAUGGGUUGCUAAGCCGCGAGGUGGAGCCAAUCCCCCAAAGCUGUCCUCAGUUCAGAUUGCAGGCUGCAACUCGCCUGCAUGAAGCUGGAGUUGCUAGUAAACGCGCGUCAGCUAUAGUGCGUUGAAUACGUUCUCGGGCCUCGUACACACCGCCCGUCACGUCAUGGGAGCUGGUAACACCUGAAGCCGGUAGUCUAACCGCAAGGAGGACGCCGUCGAAGGUGGUGCUGGUGACUGGGACG